UUAAUUGAAGCCAAAAAUUUGAGGCCUAUCACUGUUAAUGAUAUCAUUGGAUAAAAAUCCCAAUUAAA
rnacentral:tRNA from 1 species